UCACAGCCUGGAGUAGUCCGUUGAACUUCUUGAAGCUCAACAUGAUAGCCGGCAUGUCCUCCUCCGCAGGCAGGAUCGUCGUCCGGAGAUGGAACACUCUGCCAAAUUGUUCCAUACGCCCACAGAAAGAAGACAAUAAAUCAUCAGUGCAAUGUUACUAUGAAGUGCCUCACAGAGUUGUAGUUGGGUUCAGAGUUGCAGUUAAACAAAAGGCAUGAAAGACAAAAAAAAAAAAGGUGCACAAAAAAAACCCUUGUUGAAUCAGCAUCAGAUUACUAUAGAAAGGAUGAAAUGUGAUGCGUUUCCUGCAUUCACAGAUACGAGGAGGAUGAUGGUUGAUUUCCUACAGUAGCUAAUGUGAAACAUGAGUUCAGUGUGACUGUUUCCAUAUGUGCAAACCCUACGCUAUGAUGGUGUAAAAUAUCAAUGAUGUGCCACUGUUCUAGUUUUCAGAAUUUAUAUGCCAUGUUUGUCACUCUCUAAGUUUGGCUGGGAUCUCUUACAUUUCUUAACUCACAACACAAAGAACUGGAGAUGAUUGCUCACAGGGCAAAACAGAAAAAGCUCCAAGAGAUCCAAUGCUGGAUAGCCAGCUUCAUUUCAAUUUGCUUUUCUUUCCACCUUGUAUAUAUGUACAGUUUUUACAGUUACACUACUUCAAAAGUUUACAAAUAUACGCAGUAGGAAGACCUACUGUUUCUCUUAAAAAAACACUGACAGAGCAAGUGAUGAUAUCAGAAAAGCACUUACCCUUCUUUUUGGCCGAAACCUGAGCCCGGAACAGUGGAUAUUCUGGUUGCUUCAAGGAGCUUGAGGCAGUAGAAAACAUCUGGUUCUUUGCCAGCGCUUUUGGCUGUAUCGAUAGCUCUUUUCGGUAGGCAUAUUUGAAAAUAUGAGUACAUAGCUCCUGCAUUAGAGAAGAUUCUUUUUUCCUUCUAUUGACAAAAAAAGGCACAUUUUGGAAAUAUUUCUGUCACCUUCUGUGAAAUUACAAACAACAUUUUGGCAACUAUUGAAACCGUCUGUCAUUAUUUGUGCCCUCCUCCUCAAAGAAUCGAGGAUAGACUUGCUGCAACAUCAUUUGUGAGCAGAACAUAUUCAGUAUCCCGUUAAAAAAUUUCCUUCGAAAUACAGACAGUAAGAAAUGUGAAGAUCAUAAUGUUUAACCUUUCAGUAGCAAACUUCAAGUACGAGAUAUCUCCAGGUUUAGGAUGGUUCAUCAUUAGCCCCAUCUGAUAAUAACAGAUUCAGAACCAUUGUACAGCUUUUUUUUUCUGAAAACUUUAUAUAAACACGAUAGGUUGCAGAGAAACAGGGGGGGUGGGGGGGGGGGGGGGGAGAUAAAAGAAAAGAGGAAAAGAUGCAGAGACCAUUGUACAACUUCUUAAUAUAGCUGGAACAGAAUUAGUUUCAGUAACUCCCCCUAUGUUGAAUGAAGUAAAAAACACCGCCUCUGGUCAUGGAUAAGUUCCCCUGAAAGACAUGUGUAAUUCCUUGCAGGCAUUUAUAAAUUAUAAUGUAAAGAGGGCAUGCCUAUCUUUUCUGAGUCCAGCCUAAAUAGGUUUCCAGUCAUCAAGAAUUUGAAUAAUGGUCAUGGUUCUUAUUCCCCCCCCCCCCCCCCCCCCCCCCCCCCCUCCCUCCGUACAGAAAUAUUAUCAAGAAAAGAGCAAAGCAAUGAAGUUUGUUUCAGUUACGAAGAUCUGCCCAGGAACGUUUGGACUCAGCGCAAUUGAUGCAACCUUGUAGAUCUCAUCCACUGUCUGUGAGAAUAAGAUCAAUUAUAUCAUGAGUCAUAUAUUUAAGAAACUAGAUAUGUUGCAUUGUCCAAAUUUCAGGGUAAAUUCCUGUACGUUAGAAUUAACUGGAGACCUUACCUAAGUGACUAGACUUCACAUGUUCAAUUGUCAGCAUUAAUUAAACACUAUCAUACAGUUCUGAGAUUACUAGUAGUUGUAAAUGGAUGGCAUGAUUAUGAAUAUCCAACUCCGCCAUAUUCAAUUUGACAAUGUCCUGGGCAUUCACUUGAAACACCUCUCACCCAGACUUCUCAUCGCAUGAGCUCAAAUUGACAAAUACCUGGAGAGAAACUUUUUUCCUUCCCCUGGAAUUUUAUAGGUGUAAAUACUAGGUGUCGGUGGCUGGUGGUUGUGCAGGCAUUUCUUUUUCACGCAGUUUGUCGAAAGCUGCAAAUAACACAUUCAGAGCUGGAGCCUUUCAUUUUCUUGGUCUCCCAGCUGUGUUCUUUGCUGUCCUUGUCAGGUUCUCAACCUGCAACUGUUGGGUUAUCUUAUCAGCUAGUGGCUAAUGCAUCCUACUAAAAUGCUGCCUAUUGGUAUGGCUUUUGUGAACUGUGAUGUCUCUGUCUGAUGAAAAUGGCUUUGCCUGAUGUCAUGGCUAAACCUUGUUCCAUUAACGAAAUCACAGGUACAAGAUCCAAGAGGUUCUGAAAAGCGUUACUCCAAAGGAGAACGAAAUGCUGAAAACAAAGGUAGAUUCAGGCCUCCAACCUGAACAACAGAACAGAUCAUACAUCACUCCAACAAAUCUACCAGCAAGACUUCAACAGAACGCAGUACUUAAGCAUUUGCAAUUUCUCCUAUGGUGCAUCAGGAUCAUGUUAUCUUGUGUGUUUGAUUGAAUCUUAUACAGCUGAAUCCACUUCAACUGGGAUACAUUCAUACAAGAAAAAAGGCGGCAUACAGAGAACGUGGGAAUGCGGCAAUUGCAACUAGAAAUCCAGCAUUUUGCCAGAUCAGUGCACAUUGCUACAACCGAAUAUGAACAGAUUACUUACAACAACAAGAUAUAGCUUUGAUUAGCUGAGAGAAAAUGGAACCGUGGUUCGGUACAAUCAUAGGGGAUGAAACAACCAAUUAAUCUCAAGUAAUGAAAUACACUAGUUUGCAAGGCAUACUCUCACUUCUGUAGAUACCCUUGCGGAUAGUCGUCGGAUAUGUUUUCACCUUCCCUCAGCUUUGAUUAGCUGAGAGAAAACCCUGCUCAUCGACACGUCGGAGAGGUCGUGGUCAGGCUCGUGUGAAGCCCCAGCUUCUGCCAUAGUCAUGCUGAUGCUCUCAAGAGCACCCACAUGCUGAACCUGCGACGAGAGGUCAACGAUCCGGUUCAUGCUGUUCACGUCUGAUACUGUUGAAGAAUCUGCAUCUUGGAGCUGCAGGACAUACUCCAGGUUCCAUAGGACAUCUCCCAUCGACGGCCGCUCCACACCGUAGUCUGCCAGGCACUUCUCUACUGUUUCACCAAACUUCCUUAGAGAAUCCGGCCUGAUCGUACUGGAAAGUCUCUGAUCAACGAUCUGAUGCAACUCUCCCCUCUUCUGCCAUUUCAUUCCCCACUCUGCUAGAUUCACCAUUUCCCUCGGGAGCGUAGGGUCAAUCACCGGCCUCGCGCAAAGCACCUCCAGCAUGACAACACCAAAGGAAUAGACAUCUGACUUCUCAGUCAGCUGCUGCCUUCGGAAAUAUUCAGGGUCAAGAUACCCAAAGCUACCCUUCACUGCAGUGCUGACAUGAGUUUGAUCAAGCUCAGGCCCAGUCUUUGAUAGCCCAAAGUCAGCAACUUUCGCUAGGAAAUUCUCAUCAAGCAAGAUGUUUGCAGACUUGACAUCACGGUGGAUAAUGGCCUUUGCAGAACCAGUAUGAAGAUAGUGUAACCCCCUUGCAGCUCCAAUGCAGAUCUCCAAGCGCUGCUUCCAGUUGAGUGAUGGGUUGUCUGAACCAUAUAGGUGGCUUUUGACGGUCCCAUUCUCCAUAUAUUCGUAUACCAAGAUCAUCUCAUUCCUUUCAUCACAGUACCCAAUCAGAGACACCAGAUGGCGGUGACGCAAACGUGAAAGGAGUUCAAUCUCUGUGCGGAACUCGUUAAGACCUUGCUGAGACUUGGGGUUUCCUCGUUUCACUGCAACCUUCGUGUCAUCCCUCAACACUCCCUUGUAGACUUUCCCAAAACCUCCAACUCCAAUGACCCAGUUCUCGUCAAAAUUGUUUGUUGCUUCUUGGAGAACAUUGAAGGCAAAGCGAUAUCCAAGGCUUCCAUUCAGACCUGAUGUGAGAGUAGUACCAUAAGAAGUUCUACUUCCUGUACUGAGAGAUGUGAGACCAUUAAUAGAGAAAGGCAUCCAAGUCUUGGAGUGCUGCUUGUCAUCAGUCUUUUUCCUCCGGCAAAGCAGUACCAAAAGAAGGACAAUUACCAAAAGUCCAAUAACCCCAAUGACUGAACCAAUGAUAACAGCCAAAAUUUUCUUUGAACCAGAAGAUCCAACAGUAAAAGCAGAACCCGAGCCACUGCCCAUCUUCAUAACCUCAAGGCCAUUCAGAAUCCCAUCAGGGAAUGCGUUGUUCAAUGUAGAUGGACCAAUGCUGAUGCUGAGCUUGCUAGAUGCAUCAUUAGAUGAAAGAACCACAUCAACAUAGAUGGCUGUAGCCAAUUGAUUCAUUGAUUGCUCUGAGAGAUCAAGGUCAUGUUGUGCAAAGAAACCCCCCACAUAUGCAUUGAAGUAGAGUUGGUUAAGUGCCUUACUGACAAUAUCACAGAAGUGAAAUCUUAUUAAAUAGCUGAAGCCUGCAUCUACAUCAAACUGCCAUGUCAUGUUGAAAAGUGCGUUGGAUGUAUUUGAAGCUGCCAGUUCUGUAGCUGUACUGUAGACAACAUCAGGGGCAGUGAGUGACGAUGCUCCACCAUUCUUGUACUUGAUUGUCUUGCCAUAAACAACCUUUUUGGUCACACUAGGGUUCAUUAUGAACUUCUGAUCAUUCAGCCAUGUCCUUGAGAGGGUAUCAUUGUUGGGAGUGACCUUCGGACCACCCAUAUUGACGCGAUACACCGUCUCCAACGACUGCGUAGACAAACCGCUGUACUGCUGCACGGGGUUGACCAUCUGGGCAACAUCAGCUAUGAGAUCAUCCGGGACAGAAACCACUUCGAUUGCAUUGACGAAUGCGAUCCCGUUGGACGGCUUGAAGGAGAUGAUAAGCUGGUCCCGUGUGAUGUUCAAAGAGUAUUCCUUGAACAGCGGCGCGGUCUUGUCCGGCUGCUGGAAGUCGCUAAGCAGAAGCACAUCCUGGGUCGACACGGUGAACUUGGCGGUGGAGAGAUCGUAACUCUGGUAGAUGAAAGGAAAGAAGUAGAGACGGACGAAAUGGCGGCCUUGCUUGUUGAUAGGGAAGGUAUAGGACGACGGGCCGGUGAAUAUGCGGGCGGUCUGGUAGAGCGCCGAGUUGUCGAACGAGGACACCCCGUUGGCCGAGGUGCCGGCGAGGAUUUCUUGAGGUGUGGAGACCGUCAACGGAGCAGCCCCAUCGGCAGCGAAGUUUCUCUCGCUGACCGUGGUGCCCUUAGCAGAGCCGCAGUUGACGAGGUAGCUGUCGGCGGGCUUGAACUGAUCUACUAGUUGUGCUCUGCAGAUUAUCCCGGCAGACGAGCAGACACAGAAAAGGAGGAGCAAGGCUGCGACUUGCAACUUCCUCCUCCUCCCCGGCAUGGCGGCGCUGACCUGAAAGAAGAACAAGAGCGGGGUGCAAUGUGUUUCAGAUGCCAUGUCUAAGCAAGAAGCUUGAAAUCCAGAGAGGGAAAAAGGUGGAUCUGGAAACAAGAGUUACGAACUGGGGGAAGAUUAAGGAGAUGCAACGGGAAGCUGAAGGGCGCGCGGGAUCUGUUGGUGGGGUGAUGGGAGGAGAAACGGUCGGGAACGAAAGAAUGGAAGGGGGGAUAGAUACCUGCUGAGGUGGAGGCGCUCGCACGAGGAGGAAGACGAGCGACGGAGCGAAGGGGCUGGCAGCGGGACGGGGUGGCGGCGCUCGCUCGAGGAGGAAGAAGAGCGACGGGGUUGGGCCGCCAGGGGAGGGAAGGUUGCCGAGCAAAGCAAAUAAAAGGAAAAAAGUUUAUACUGUCCUGUUUCCCUCAGCCAGCCGACAGAGAAAAAAAUCUAGGAGGUUAGGAAACCACCGAUGAACAUCCGUUUUAGGACUUGUUUGCAAGGUUUUUGUGUGUUCUUGGCGACGGCAGCCUGACGAAGGCUCUAUCCCGUUCUGGCAUGGCUAUCAUGGUCUACACUCCAUGGAGUUUGUGGAUCUCACGGCUUGUAAAUUCGUGAUUUUGAUCAUGUUCCUCAUCAGUUCGGCUAUGAUUCAAUGGUUCGAUAACCUGUCUAGCGAGGGGUGUGUUCUCGGCCACCGCGCGUUCAACGAUCUUAAGUUCUCACCUGCUGAGGUAGAUGGCUCGUGUGGCUUACCCUACAAGGUUAGUCCAGGUUAUGCAGGUCUGGUCUUCUACUGUUUCAUUACCAGAGAUUUGGAGAAAUAUUAAGAUGCGAUUGGCACGACUAGAGAACUUGGCUUCAAAGAUUUUUGAUGUAACUUUCGAUUUAAUUUUUCGUAAUCUUUGCCGAAAUCUUGGGUAGAGAAUAAAGUCAGAUUUUCUAAAAAAAACAAAGCAAAGCAAAUAAAAAGUGAGAGAUAAAUGAGCUGAGAGCUCCCACCCUAGGCCUAACCGAGAAAAAAUAGUUUAAUAAUUUAUGUGAUGUAAAAUAUUUGUGACUAGUUUAUACAGUCGGGCCGAAAAUGUGAGGUUUUGUUAGCAAAUUAGCAAAAAUUGGGAGCUACUGAGACGAGCCCCAAUAACCGUGGUUUCUUGAAAUUUACCCUGUUUAUUAUGUCAAAUAUCCAUGUGUGUAUCUAUAUCUGAGGCGUCUGAAUUUUUAAGUAAAAGAUUUAAUUCUUGAUCGAUAGUAUCAAAACCACUCACUUCUCUCUCGUUGCGAAUUUUAAAACACAAUCUAGAUCCAACAACUGAACAAUAACUUAUUUCUAACUAAAAAUCAUGCGACUUAGGUAUAACAAGCCUAAAUAUCUAUUUUGUUAAAUAUCUAGAUGUUUCUGGAAAAAAAUAUAACUAUGUAUUUACUCUUACAAAGACCUAGCUUGAUAACUUGGCCGCUUGGGGCGCUGCAGUAGGUCAGUCCGCAGCGGGGACGAGCAAGAAAAAAAAUACGCAGUGGCUCCUCAGCACGGAGGCGAGUCUGACCUUCUCCUUGGCAACACGUGGGUUGAGAAUCCGGAAAUUCAGCUGAACAGAGGUGAGAAAUGAUCCAUGAAGGUGGCACAUCUCAGGGAGAGAAAUUGGGCACAAUCGAGUCCUAUCUCAGAAGAACUCAUAACCUGACACCGCUGCUGAAUUAGUUUAUAUGCGUUUUUUGCACAAGACACCAAUCCAGUGAGCUUCCUCGGAUUCGUCCCACUCCCACGCGGACAGGUAAUGUUGCGGGGGUGGCGAAGAGGAUGAGGCUGGCCGGGAGCCUGUAUCUCUUGCGAAGAAGUUGAAUCGCACGCUUGUGCGGCGUGCCUUGGUCCAUGAUGGUAGCGAGCGGCGGUGGCGAUGGAGGGAGUGCCGAGGAGACGGCGGCGGUGGCGGUGGAGGGAGUGAAGAGAAGCCCGAGGAGAUGGUGGCGAGCAGCCGGCGCGGAAGAAGGAAUUAAAAAAAAAAUACGGCGACGGCGGCCAGUGAGAUCGGCUUUGGACGCAACUGCAAGAAGAAGUUAGGGAUGCUUUUGGGCGAUGGUACCGGCAAACGCUUGUUAUCAGUCCUCUCUUAAUUAAGAUGUUUUUCUUUUGAAAAACGAAUGAAGAAGAAGUUAGGACAGAGGCGCCGGAAAGUGGCAGCUGGGCACGUUCAUUUAUGCCUUUUUGUAUUUCUGUCCUGACAAAUGACCCAUGUGCAACGGGGGGCAACCACUGUCCAACAAGCAACGCGGUAGCACAGUGGAGUGGAGUAUUAUUUGCUCUCUUUUUUUUCUUUAUUUAAAGCUUUUUUUAACAUUACCCGAUGGAGAAAAUUAUCAAACUUAACGAAUAAAAAUGCAUCCGUAAUUAGCGCCGUGACGUGUGCCUAAUUACGCGCAUUACGAUGUCCAUUUCGAACUCAGGGACCGUUGUCUAUGUACACAUUGUUUGUUUGUUUGUUUAUUGAGUGAUGGUCAUGUUGUUUAACUAAAUAUAAAUAUGGGAUUUGCUAUUUCUAAGGCAACCGAGAAAUAGCUACUAUUUGUAAAUCGAUGCUAACAACCGUUCGAUCCACUUACCAGAGGCGGCUGCAUGUGUAUUCACGUGUAUUCAUCAGAUGAAUGCACAAGAUUUUGAGAAAAAAAAAUUAUAUACAUAUAUUAGUACUAGUAUUAGUCAUUGGGCCCCUAGUCCACUAGUCCGUAGACCUCAGGUCAAGGCCCAGCAGCCCCAUGUCCGCGACUCUAGUAUGCCUCUGCGUGACGGUUUCGUUCCUCGAUCAAUCGAUCGGCACGCCGCACGCAAACGCCGCCAGACCCUAGCGAGCAGAGCAGCGGACGUCAGAGGCGAGGCCUUGAUUGCGGCGACCGCCGGCUCCGCGCGACCCAGUGCAGCGGAGCAAGGAUUGUCUGAUCGUGGCGUGGCCACGAGCACUAUUACGUUGUUUACAGGCUUCUUAAGUUGGUGUUGCUUCUACCAGUAGCUACUGCUAGUGUUGAAAGGGUUUUCUCCUCAAUGAACUAUGUGAAGAAUAAGCUAAGAAACAAAAUGGGUGAUGAUUACUUGAACAAUUGUUUGGUUACAUUUAUUGAAAGAAAGAGAAUUCUUCAGUCAAGUUACGGUACGGAUGAGGAUGUCAUCAAUCGCUUCCAACAAGGCGAUCGCAAAGUUAUAUUGUAAUUUUUAAGAUGAGGAUAUAUCAUUAAUUCUUCAAUCAAGAGGUACUCCCUCAAUGCUAGUUCAUAUUGUAGUAUUGAUACUUAUUAUGGAACUAUAGUCAUAGCUCAUAUAUAUUUGUAACCUGGUUAAAAAAUAGUAAUUGUCAUGCUGCUUUGUCCAAUGCUAUCCACAAUUUCAUUAUCAGUUGUUUUAUUUCAUAAAGUCCACUGGAUUUUUUUUGCAAUGAAUACCCAGUGUCUAGAACCUGGAGCCGCCACUGCCAAUCACUGAUAUUCGUGCAAGAUUUAUACAAUUAAAUUAAAAUGAUGAGAAAAAUCAUAAUUGAAUGGUCAUGAUCGUUGACUGAGAAAUAAUUAUUUACUAGUUGAGUGCCCGUACAUUGCUACGGAACGAUAAGAAAAUAUAUUUGUAUAGGCAUUUCGAUCACAUGGUUAUUUUAUUUCUUAAACGUAGUGGCCAAUAAAAAUAUGUCUAGUGAAAAUCAAACCCGGUGUCAUUAUCUUGCUUCCUUCCUAUCUCUCGCCAUCGUUGAUUCUCUUACUUUUAGAAGUUUCCAUUCAACACCAGUGGAGUAUGGUGAGCCAAACAUGGUGUACAGGAUGAUCAGUAUAAUAAUGGAGAGCACCACCCAAAUCACUUCACUUUGUUUUGGUGUACCAUCAGGAAUUUGACUUAUGUAAUAUGGUAGUAAUGAAACAAUCACUGCCCAAAACUGGAUAACAAGCAAUACUCUUGCAGCCCGAAGCCAUUUCCAAGAUCCACCCUAAGUUUGCAUUUUAUCAGCACUAUCCUUAGUUUUACUGUCAUCCAAUGAUUUUCCCUUGGUUUUACUGUCAGCAAGAGCAGCAGCAACUAUUGGGGGGGGGGGGGGGGGGGGGGUGCCAAAAGCAGUGCAAAAGGAAUCAUAUCCACACCAACUGAAACGAAUUUGCUUGGAGCUGCAAGGAAAUAGAGGAAAAAUGAUUGAUGGAACUUCACGGGCAGGUUAUUCACAGAACGUACCACCCCUUCAAUUAACCUGAAAUGGAAAAAAAUAUGGUGAGAUAAACAUAAACAAUGUGCUGACCACGUGCUUUAUUAAAUGCAGAACAUGCAUCUUUUUCUAUAAAAAUGAAAGAAAUGCUUUUCAGUACAAUAAGCCUGUUAUUUUUCUAUAAAUCAAGCCUCCACUACUAUUAUAUUAUUUGGACAAACAAAUCCAGAGUUCCUUAAAAGUCCAGUUAAAAUCAAAGUCUGUUUAGCCAACAUGAAUAUCUUUGUUGUGUCAGUCAGUUACAGAACAAGCUACAAAAAUGCGCAAAGACAUAACUAAGCAAUAGAUGAACAAUUGUUGGUUUCAUUACACAAGAUCCUUCUUUUGGAUAUUCUCCCUAACAUUAGGAUUAGGAUCCUGAAGCAAAAUAAAGAAAUCACUCAACCAAAUAAAAGUUAGCUAUUUGCAAUCAGUAUUUGUAACUCAACUUGCUGUUGACAUACAGGUCGCUGUUGCACGCUUCAGGAAAUUUCCCCUGCAUUUGCCCCAAAAGGAGUCUUCCGAUUUCUUUCUUAGAACAAUUGAAGAAAUAUAUUCAGCCAAUCCACAUACCUGCAAAUUAUACAGCCACCUCGGGUAUUUCUGUCCACAUCCGGUGUUUGAUAUCCAUGACAAAGCUAACAUCAAAUGUCUCGUCCUCCUUAAGAAAUUUCUCAAUAGAAUAAACCUACUGAAAUAAAAAUUAUGGAACUCUCAAAUUUAUUUAUUUGUCUUUUUAGAACCUGGAUCCCAAUUCACCCUACCCUGUAGCAUUCAGUUGGUUAAGUUGCGGUCUUAUCUUCCAAAGAGAGAGAGAGAGAGAACAAUCCAGAUAUCACAAUCUAUAUUCUCCGUUUUUACAUUUCACACCAGCCGUGAAUGGCAAAAGGAAAACUGCAUACACCAUUAAUUAAUAUCAGAGCAAAAGAGUAUUUCUGCCUGUAAUGCUAACUUUGCACAGAGCAAAGAACCAUUGGCGUCACAUCAGGAAACUGCAACCUGCAUCAAUCUUUUGCACAAAUAUAUAUAGAAAAAAAAACACAUAUACAGGGGGAAUCCGUCAUGCUACCUUACCAGAGAUGUGGAUUGAGGAGGUAUCCGGCGGUGAGGCAGACACAAGCACUCGGGCGGAUGGUAAGGCAGAUGCUGGCACUCUGUCCGGUCGCCAUGAGCACAAACCAAUCUUCCAGCCUGAAGAAAUCGAUCCUCUCCACUUUCGUUCCUUAUAAAAUCACAAGCAUCUCUAAGAGUACAAAUAUACUACUCAUUGCAAGGAAGUAGGAUCAGUCUUUGGCUAAAUAAUUUCCUCUAGACAAUGUAGGGAGUAUUAACACAGACUUAGACUUAGGCAGUGGACGCCAUAUCCUCAAAAAAAAAAUGCAAGAUUUCGAUGGGCACCUUCCCCUCGAACCUCCUUCUAUGCUGCUGCAGGUGGCAGCGGCUGCAAGGGAGGCGUUGCGGGAUACCAGCAGGCGUCGUCAGCGGCGGCGAUGCAGGCAGGCGGAUGCGGAUGCGGAUGCGGGGAGCACCCAGAUCGGUUCGGUUUUGAUUCGGGCCGGCUGGGCCUGCGAGGAAGCGGGAGGGAGGCGGCGCUGCGGAUCAAGAGGAGGCAGGGAGGAAGAGGCAGGCGGCGGCGGCGCGUCAUCGCGAGGAAGGCGAAGGGAGGGAGGGAGGCGGCAGCGCCGGCGUGUCCUCGCGAGGAAGGCGGAGGGACGAAUGGGGCAGCAGCACGGAUGAGGAUGAGGGGGCGUUGCAGGGAAGUCUGCGGCGCUGGAAGGGGGCGGUGGAGGGAGGGAGGACGAUGCAGAUCGUGAGGAAGGGGAUGGAGGCGUCGUCCGGAUGGGAUCGAUGCGGAUGGAAAUGAAGGUGGAGCUAAUCGCGGGAUUCUGCGCAUGCGUGGAGGUGGGAGGAGGCCGGUGGGAACCGGUUUUUUGGACGAUGAGACUAUCACGCGGACGCAACUGCAAAUUAAGUAAUACGUAGGAAAGAUAAAUCGGCUCCACUGCACUGGAUGUCUACAUGUGUACGUAGCAAGAUCGGUCGGCACGUACCAGGGGUUUGAUAAUGACACUGGUUAACAGAAAAACAACGACCAUCCCAUUCCCAUGUGAGAUGGAGCAAAAUUAGGCAGUUUCUUAAUUAGCCUGGCAACUGUCUUGCUGUCCGUCCGUCCAAGUUAAUUAGCAUGCAUGAGAGUUCGGUGGAGGACAGUUAGACUAAUACCAACCGACAGCGACUCGACUCCAUAUAAGUUUCAGAAAAAUAAAAGAGGCAUCUUCGUCAACACCGAUUGACAACGGGCCAUGCACACGGCCCACGGGCCGGCGGACAUAAAUUUGGAGUAGAUACGCAAAUUGGCAUUCUUGUUUGAAGGUGUUGGGAAGGCUCGCCAAACGUCAUCUCUGGUAUGAUUCGGUAUUAUUUCUAUGUGUCUAGACUCAAUAAAACUGAUAGACGUUAUCACGUUUGAUGAUUUAGCAAUGCAAUGAUAAAGCAUCGAUCUCAGCACUGCUUUGCUUCAUUUGCUUGUGAAAUUCAGACAUGUGUGUUGUGUACUCUCCAUAUAUUUAUGUUAAUUCAUAUCAUUUUAUCGCCCAAAUUGCCAAGCGUAGCAAACAUCUAAAACAUAAUGUAUUUCGGAAGGGAUUAAGUAGGUGUGUCAGCAUGACAGCAUGCAUAGUGUCAACAGCUCCACCAUCGCCAUCAUGGUGACAAUCACCUCCAUAUCUUUCUACAGUAAGAUAUGAAGCUCAAUCAACAACGGCGAUCAAGCUCUUAAUUAUAUCCACCAUGCAAGCAAUAACAAGGAGUAUUAAUUAAUCGAUGGAGCCAAGAGUUGCACAGUAUGAUUGUCUCAUAAAUUAUGUUUUCCCUAUACAUAUCAAGCACAGCAACCAGUUUAGUUUCUUCAAGAUAGUUACAGCUUACAGCUAAAUUUUUUAACUUUUAAUCGCUGGUGGAAAAUAGCAGCAAUAUAUCAUGUCGAUGAUGACCUCGUUGUUUCCCUCUUCACAUCACAGCCUGGAGUAGUCUUGGUAUUGCUCCAUGAAUGAGUCGUUGAACUUCUUGAAGCUCGACAUGAUCGCCGGCAUGUCUUCCUCUGCAGGCAGGAUCGUCGUCCGGAGAUGGAACACCCUGCCAAAUUGUUCCAUGCGCCCACAGAAAGAAGGAACAAAUUAAAUCAUCAGUGCAAUGUGACUAUCAAGCGCCUCACAGAGUUGUAGUCGGGUUCGGAGUUACAGUUAAACAAUAAGCAUGAAAGAAAAAGAAAAAAAACCAAAGGUACUCAUAAAAACCCUUGUUGAAUCAGCGUCAGAUUACUAUAGAAAGGAUGAAAUGCGAUAGCUUUCCUACAUUCACAGAUAUGAGGAGGAUGAUGGUUGAUUUUCUACGGUAGCUAAUGCGAAACGUGCAAACCCUACUCUAUCAUGGUGUACAAUAUCAAUGAUGUGCCACUGUUCUAGUUUUCAGAAUUUAUAUGCCAUGUUUGUCACUCUCUAAGUUUGGCUGGGAUCUCUUACAUUUCUUAACUCAUAACAACACAAAGAACUGGAGAUGAUUGCUCAUAGGGAAAAACAGAAAAAGCUCCAAGACAUCCAAUGCUGGAUAGCCAGCUUCAUUUCAAUUUGCUUUUCUUUCCCCCUUGUAUAUAUGUACACAGUACACUACUUCAAAAGUUUAUAAAUAUACACAGUACGAAGACCUGCUGUUUCUCUUAAGAAAACACAGAUAGAGCAAUUGAUGAUAUCAGCAAAGUACUUACCCUUCUUUUUGGCCGAAACCUGAGCCUGGAACAGUGGAUAUUCCGGUUGCUUCAAGAAGCUUGAGGCAGUAGAAAACAUCAG
rnacentral:lncRNA from 1 species